rnacentral:rRNA from 1 species
UACGGAGGGGGCGAGCGUUGUUCGGAUUUACUGGGCGUAAAGGGUGUGUAGGCGGCUGGAUAAGUCUGGCGUGAAAUCUUCACCGCUUAACGGGAAGGGGUCGCUGGAAACUGUUCAGCUUGAGUAUGGUAGAGGCAAGCGGAAUUCCUGGUGUAGCGGUGAAAUGCGCAGAUAUCAGGAGGAACACCAAUUGCGAAGGCAGCUCGCUGGGACGUUACUGACGCUGAGACGCGAAAGCGUGGGGAGCAAACAGG